rnacentral:tRNA from 1 species
GCGGCUCUAGCUCAACUGUCCUUCCAAGUCAGAUGUUGCGGGUUCAAGUCCUGCGAGCCGCUCCA